UGUCGCACCAGGAAACUUCGAAUUAGUGAUGUGGCAGACGACGUGGACUCCCUGGGAGAGAAGUAAACUGUUCUUUAUAUAUAUAGAUAGAUAGAUAUAGAUAUUACCAAUGCUUUUAGAUUCUUAGAUUCAAUGGAUUAACAAGUGAUUUCACAUCCAUGUCAGAGGUAAUUUUGUGGACAACCGCUUCAGAAAUCCACUAGCUUAUUUGAUUGGGCAAUCAACUUUUUGUAGUUUCUUGUGUAAUCAACUUAUUUUUUGGUCCCAAUCUCUGUCUUUUUUCCUCUUUGCUUGGUUUGAGUUUGGUU
rnacentral:lncRNA from 1 species